UACGGGGGGGGCAAGCGUUGUUCGGAAUUACUGGGCGUAAAGGGCUCGUAGGUGGCCAACUAAGUCAGACGUGAAAUCCCUCGGCUUAACUGGGGAACUGCGUCUGAUACUGGAUGGCUUGGAUUCGGGAGAGGAAUGCGGAAUUCCAGGUGUAGCGGUGAAAUGCGUAGAUAUCUGGAGGAACACCGGUGGCGAAGGCGGCAUUCUGGACCGACAUUGACGCUGAGGAGCGAAAGCCAGGGGAGCAAACGGG
rnacentral:rRNA from 1 species